rnacentral:lncRNA from 1 species
CUUUCUAAGUUGGACCAGGUCCGACCCUGGAACUAGUCCGGUUUCUAAAUUAGACCUAAGCCAAACACCAGGCAGUUUCAAGCCCCAGUUUUCAGAAAAAGUUCAGACUUUUGUCGAAGUGUGAAUGCUCCCGACGCAAAGCUGCUAAACGAGGACUGGGAUCCGAAGGGAGGGGACGUUCCCACGACCUCCGCAGGCCGCGAGGAGGCAGCAGCUCCGCAGUGUCCUAUCAUUUUGCCACGGACCUCACAGAAGCGUGGCCAAGAGGAGCUACUCCACAUCCAAGGAGCGGCGCCUGCAUGGGCACAGGAGGGCUGAGGGGAGCUACUACACAUUCAAGGUCAGGAGGGGCGGCCAUGAGGAGAUACCUCUCGUCCAAAGUAAGGAGCUGUGGGCCACUUUGCUAGAGCCGCUGUGAAGAGAUAUCCCAUGUCCAAGGUAAGAGAAACCCAAGUAAGACAGUAGGUGUUGCGAGAGGGCAUCAGAGGGCAGACACACUGAAACCAUAAUCGCAGAAAACCAAC